rnacentral:rRNA from 1 species
AGCGAACGCUGGCGGCAGGCCUAACACAUGCAAGUCGAACGAACCUUUCGGGGUUAGUGGCGGACGGGUGAGUAACACGUGGGAACGUGCCUUUAGGUUCGGAAUCACUCAGGGAAACUUGUGCUAAUACCGAAUGUGCCCUUCGGGGGAAGGAUUUCUCGCCUUUAGAGCGGCCGGCGUCUGUUUAGCUAGUUGGUUGAGGUCAUGGCACACCACGGCUACGCUCAGUAGCUGGUCUGAGAGGAUGCUCAGCCACAUUGGGAAUGAGACACGGCCCAAAAUCCGACGCGAGGCAGCAGUGGGGAAUAUUGCGCGAGGGGCGAAAGCCUGACGCAGCCAUGCCGCGUGAAUGAUGAAGGUCUUAGGAUUGUAAAAUUCUUUCACCGGGGACGAUAAUGACGGUACCCGGAGAAGAAGCCCCGGCUAACUUCGUG